rnacentral:rRNA from 1 species
AUUUAACGCUGGCGGCAUGCUUUACACAUGCAAGUCGAACGGCAGCGCGGGCUUCGGCCUGGCGGCGAGUGUCGAACGUGUGAGUAAUACAUCGGAACGUGCCCAGUCGUUGUGGUUCGCUCUGCGAAAGCCGGAUUACUCCCGCAUACGCCCUGAGGGUGAAAGCGGGGGAUCUUCGGACCUCGCGCUAUUGGUGCGGCCGAUGGCAGUUUAGCUAGUUGGUGGGGUAAAGGCCUUCCAAGGCGACGAUCGGUAGCUGGUCUGAGAGGACGACCAGGCACACUGGGACUGAGACACGGCCCAGACUCCGAAGGGAGGCAGCAGUGGGGAAUUUUGGACAAUGGGCGAAAGCAUGAUCCAGCAAUGCCGCGUGCUGGAUGAAGGCCUUCGGGUUGUAAAGAACUUGUGGCGGGAACGAAAAGGACUGUGCCAAUACCACGGUUCGAUGACGGUACCCGCAGAAUAAGCACCGGCUAACUACGUG